UUUAUUGUGAUUAUAUAUCAUCUUUUUUUUUUUUUUCUAAAUUGAUUUGAAUUUGAUUAGCUAUUUCUCUUGUGUUUUCUUCUCCGUUGAAACUCACAGAAGAAUCAGGAAUCUCUAUCUCGUCGUGCAUUCCACGUCGAACCUCAGCCUCGCGAGAAAGCUGUGAGUUUCUCCUCUCUCUAUCUCAGCUACUGCUACCUAUCUUGAUAGUUUCUUAGGGUUUUAAAACUUUUUCUUUUCCCUUUUGAGUGGAAAGAUAUUUUUAUCCUUUCGUUAUUUUCUGAGAUAUGAGAAGCUUCAACAAGGUCAGCGUGACAGGGUCUAUCCGCUGUUAUGGUCUUAUAGAUAUCGAGAUUUUGACUUUUAAGUGAAUCGCUUGCGACACUUCAAUCAUGUUUUCGUUCUUAGAUGAGGAAUGAUUGCCGUUUAUAUGCUCGUGUAUGUGUGUUAGAGACUAGUUUAAUAUACAAUCUUAUACAGUUAAUGAAGUUGUUGAAUUUCGAUUGCAUCGGAUUGAUUGUUGGUCCAGCAUCUAACUCCCCAACUUGGUCCAGUGGCAUACUUUGGUAUCAUUUGGUUGACAUUCAUGUUCAAGGACCUUUGUUUUAGUUAAGUGACCAAAUAGUAGCGAUCAAAAGCAUGGCUGUGAUGGUGGAGAAGGUAUCCUGGAGCUUUUUUAGUUCAUCUAUGACAUUCCACGCUUUGAUGAAAUGCUAUAGCAUUGCUCUGUUUUCAUUUUGAGACAUGUUUCUGUUUCUCCCUCUAUUCUCCAAAAAGUCAUCUACUUGGGAUUUUUUCCUGCAUGAAGUCAAAGCUAACUACGCAAUGCCUGUCUGAAGACUUCAAGCAAUGUGCCUCUCUGUUUAACUAAUAUCGUAAACUUUUGUCUUGAAACUUUUCACAUUUUAUGUUGUGCAAAUUAGUGGAUAACUGAACUUGAAAUUUAACUUAAGUGCUUUUUUUUUCAGAAAAAGAUUUUUUGAGCCUUGCUGUUCUAAGUUAUUUGCAUUACAGCUCUUGGCAGAAGACCCAGCUCUUAAGCGAUUCAAAUCACAUAAGAAGAGUGUAUGGAGACUCAAAAGAGUUGGAGAUGUUCUCACAAUUGUGGUUGUAGCAGGUAUGCUGGUGUCUCUGCUACUAGUUGAAGAAAUUUUUCAUUAGUAUUCUCCCAUAUCAGGAUCUCUUUUGCCCAUUAUGUUAUGCAAUUUAUAAUAUUGUGGGAGUAGCUGAACCUCAGAAAUUUAUUUGGGUUCUCAUGCACGGCAAGAAAAUAAUCCCCUUAGGAAAUUCAAUGGUUUGGAUUUGUAGAUUCUUGUGCAAUUUUGAUGCCUAAUGAAAUGCUUGUCCUUUUACUUGUCCACUUUUAUGCCUUCAUGUUAUCAUUUAGGCUCUCCUUUGCGCUUUAAUGUGUCUUUGGCCUUAAGUAACAAGUGAAAAAGACUGAGGGAUGAGUAACAAGCAAAAAGAUUGACCUGCCUGUUGAAGUAGGAAUCACAAUAAGAGUUUUGCAUUUUCUCUUGUUUAGGUUUUUGCAAGUACUCAGACUCAUUGCAUACACAACCGUCAUAUCCUUCCUAUGAUUGUAACCAUUAUUCACUUUGGAAUCUGAUUUUUUAUGUCAGUAUUGGUUAUAAUAUAAACACCUUUUGUGCUUGUGAACUGAUUUGAUCAACUACGUGAAUUGCCACAAGCAAUAUCUCUAGUUUUUCUUUUUCUCAAAUAUUCUGCAAGUUCUCCAUAUCAUUGAUGGCCAAUGUGCUAAAUUAAAGGCUCGUGUGACUCAGUAACAAUAUCGCUAUUACUUUGACCUGCCUUUGAGGUUUAUAAAAACCUGAAGCAUGAUAUUACUUAACAGAGCAUGUGUUAAUGUCAUUACUUAAAUAGUACUAGAGAACACAUCAUAUAGACUUUCACCAUGAAUUGCGGUUAUCUAUUAUGUGUUUUCAUUGUUUUGCCAGUAUUCUUAUAUCGUGUCUGUUUCAGGCUGUUGCUAUGAAAUCUAUGUCAGAGCAGUAAUGCGGGAGGAGGCUCGAAAAAAAGCAGGGGAAAGUGCAUAAGUAUUCAAUUCUUCGAUGUUUCAUUUUAUUGCUGAGAACAACGUUAGGCCUUCGUUUUUUUAAUCUGUGUGUUGAAUAAGCAGAACAACCAGUUUUGUUGUAAUCAAAUGGUUGUUCUCGAAAGUUGCUAUUACCAUGUUUUCUAAUUUAUGCUUGAUAAAUGUUAUGACAUAAUGUAUGCACAUAUAAAGAACAAUAUUCUAUUGGCAGGGCCACAUGUAUCGGAUGUACUUGAGAAUUUUUCUUGGCAUAUUUGCACUCAUAACGUUAUUAAAGAAAAUUUUCAUGGCAUCUUAAAAUUAAAAAAAAAAAUGCGUAAGUUUAUACAAAAAGUGCCAAUCAAUAAAUAGUUUGAAUCUUUUAAAUUAAUUUAAAUUUAAGGUGGAGAUUUUUUAGUGAAAAAAUAUAAGCGAGUAGUAAUUACAAAUUUUAUACAUUUAUAUAUUUAUCAUUAACGUUCAAUUAUUAACUAUAAAAUAGUGAUUUUAGAAGAAAUUUGAGGUUUAUGAAUAUAAGUUGGUGUGUUUAUAGUUUGUGCUAUUUUUAUUAAUAUUAUAAGAUUAUCUUGAUUGUGUUUUUUGGGAUGUUUUUAAAUUUAAAGUGACAUAAUUGUUUUUAAAAAAUUAAGACAAACCUAUAAAAUUCUGCUCCAAAUUAUCUUGAAUUAAAAUUGAUUAAACUAGUCGAACACCCAAUUAAUUUUGAUUCAUUUCCUUUCUCAAUCAUGAACCAUUGAUUUGAUGAUGAUCAAACCAAACUCUGACUAGGUAUGCACUAGAAAAUUUUUGAGCCAACAUUUUCCAUGGCCAUGUUUGUACAUUUAUUUCACAAAGCAUGCUCUAAGGCCUAUAAAUAGAUACCCAAAUCACAGAGUGAAUCCAAAAUAACUAAAAGCAAAGGUGAUGGCCAAUCCAAGAUGUCAUGUCAUUGUUAUCCCUUACCCUGCUCAAGGUCACAUUAACCCCCUCCUUCAGUUCGCUAAACGCUUGGCUUCCAAAGGAGUCAAGGCCACUCUCGCCACCACCCCUUACACAAUAAACUCGAUCCAUGCCCCCACAGUAGGUGUUGAGCCCAUCUCUGAUGGCUUUGAUGAAGGCGGCUUCAAGCAAUCCUCAGGUGUAGAGGCAUACCUAGAAUCAUUCAAAGCUGUUGGUUCAAGAACUCUUACUGAGCUUAUCUUGAAAUUCAACGCCUCGGACUCCCCUGUUAGGUGUAUUGUGUACGAUUCAUUGCUGACUUGGCCUGUUGAUGUAGCUAGACAACUUGGGAUUCAUGCUGCUGUAUUUUUUACCAAUUCAGCUUCUGUUUGCUCCAUGUAUUGGCAAAUUGAUCGGGGUCUCACUCUUCCUGUGGAACAAGAAACUGUGCCAGUGUCUUUGCCGGGCCUUCCUUCACUAGGCUUCCAUGAAUUUCCGAGUUUUCUGGCAUCCCCAACAACUCACUCUGCUUAUUUAGCAGCAAUCUUGGAGAAAUUUCACAGUUUGGACAAAAAUGAUUGGGUAGGUCUGCAGCUCCUUCGAAGAGCUAGAGAUUCAGGUAACUGAACUUUGGGAUAUUUUUUGACUGUAUGCAAUUCUUGUUAUUUUAAUUUAUAUUUUUUGGGAUUGAUGAUAAUUUAAUAAUUAGAUUUCCAGAGGAUACAAUGUAAUUUAAUGGAUAAUUAGAUUGCUAAUGUGUUCACUGCUUUGACUGGUGAAAAAUGAAAAGCUAGUAGGAGCCACGAGAGGACUGUGGCCAGUGGUGAUGGUAGGUCCAAUGGUGCCAUCUGCCUACUUAGACCAACAAAUUGAUGGAGAUACAGCUUAUGGGGCCAGUCUCUGGGAACCAACAACUGACCAGUGCUUGAGAUAGCUAGACACGAAGCCACCAGACUCAGUAAUAUACGUGUCAUUUGGAAGCAUGGCAGGCAUUUCAGCUAACACAGGUUGAAGAAAUGGCAUGGGGUUUGGAAGCAAGCAAAAGGCCUUUCCUAUGGGUUAUCAAGGAUUCAGAAAAUAAGCUACAAGAUGAUUUUAUAAGCUCAAUAGGCGAGACAGGGAUAGUCGUGGCAUGGUGCAACUAACUAGAGGUCCUAGCUCACCAAGCGGUGGGCUACUUUGUUACACACUGUGGAUGGAAUUCUACAGUGGAGGGGCUGAGCCUAGGCGUGCCAAUGGUAUGCGCGACACAGUGGAGCGACCAGCCAACAAACGCCAAGUUUGUAGAGGAAGUGUGGAAGGUGGGAGUAAGAGCUGAGAAAGAUGAAGAGGGGAUAGUAGGGAGAAAGGAACUUGAGAAAUGUGUAAGGGAGGUUAUGGUUGGAGAGAGGAGUGAAGAAAUGAAGAAUAAUGCAUCUAAAUGGAGAGAUAUUGCAAAGGGUGCUGUCAGACUCGGUGGGAGCUCAGAUACCAAUGUUGAUCACUUUUGUAAUGAAGUUGCUAGAUGAGAAGAAAACAUAAAUUGUCACAGCUUGAAUUUUGAUGGAUCAAUAAAAUCAUGUAUCACCCCAUUGAGGUUUAUCUUGUGUUGUAAGCUUCUGCUCUUGGGCAGCUCCAGUAGCUGCACGACAAUUUAAAUUUGAUUUCAAGGAAGAAGAACUAAACCUCCAACUUUAAUUGAAAUCAUUAGCAAGAAGCAAGUUUUACAGUUCCAAACCUUCGCUUUUCUUGGAUCCAGAAUUCCUCUAAAGGCGGUGGACGACCUAAACAAAAGAUUUUCUUUGCCAUAAACAAUUGAACUGUUAUUUCAUAUAAAACAGUCAUUGCCCGAAUCGCUUUUCUUGAAAAAUUUAUUAAAAUAUAUUUUUUUCUAUAUUAAUAAAAUAAUUUUUUUUAAUUUUAUUUAUUUUUAUUAUUAUAAUAAAAAAUCAAAUUAUCAUUUCUUUUUUUUAUUUUUAAAAAUUCUUUUUUUUAUUUUUAAAAAUUAUAAUAAAAAAAUCAAAUUAUCACUUUUUUGUUUUUUUUAUUUUUUUUAUUUUGUUGUUAAAAAAAUAAAAAAAUUUAAUAUAUUUUUUAAAAUAUAAAGAGUGAUUUAUAAAUAAUAAUAAUAUUUACAAAUUAAAUAAAAGAGUUUAUUAAAAAUAAAAUUGAAUUUAAAAUUUUUUUUUCUAUUUUUUAUUUUUUUAAUAAAAAAUAAAAAUAUUAUUUCAUUGAAAAAAAAAUCUUAAUAAAAUUUUAAAAAUAUAAAAAUUAAUUUAUUAAUAAUAGUAUUAAAUCUCCCACAAAAAGGAACACAUGAGGCUUAGUGGAAAAACGACGAUUAAUACGAAAAUUGGGUACAAAUAGAGAUUAAUGUGAAAUUUCACGGAGGGUACCGUUGCAAAUUCCAUAAUCUCAAAUUUUUUAAGAGAGAUCCCUGGUGGGUCAGUUUCAGUGCCCAUUCGAGCAGCACCCACUCAGAUCUCGCCUUCCAUUAUUUCUUACUCAAAGAAAGGGAAAAAUAAAUGGCCUUCCUGCUCAAUAAUUCCGCAAUUUCUUCUCAUUUUCGAUCUCAUACACAAGUAAUUUGUUUAUUGUGAUUAUAUAUCAUCGUAUUUUUAAAAUUGAUUUGAAUUUGAUUAGCUAUUUCUCUUGCGUUUCCUUCUCUGUGAAACUCGCAGAAGAAUCAGGAAUCUCUAUCUCGUCGUGCAUUCCACGUCGAACCUCAGCCUCGCGAGAAAGCUGUGAGUUUCUCCUCUCUCUAUCUCAGCUACUGCACCCUAUCUUGCUAGUUUCUUAGGGUUUUAAAACUUUUUCUUUUCCCUUUUGAGUGGAAAGAUAUUUUUAUCCUUUAUUUUCUGAGAUAUGAGAAUCUUCAACAAGGUCAGCGUGACAGGGUCUAUCCGCUGUUAUGGUCUUAUAGAUAUCGAGAUUUUGCCUUUUAAGUGAAUAGCUUGCGACACUUCAAUCAUGUUUUCGUUCUUAGAUGAGGAAUGAUUGCCGUUUAUAUGCUCGUGUAUGUGUGUUAGAGACUAGUUUAAUAUACAAUCUUAUACAGUUAAUGAAGUUGUUGAAUUUCGAUUGCAUCGGAUGCAUUGUUGGUCCAGCAUCUAACUCCCCAACUUGGUCCAGUGGCAUACUUCGGU
rnacentral:lncRNA from 1 species